AUAUCAUAUAAAUCAUAUAUUUUGGAUAAAAUAAACAACCUAUCGAAAAAUGCUAUGAAUCGGGGACGAUUCAUCUUAGAGAGAGGGGAGUUAACGGCAGCCUCCAAACAGUAGCUAAUUAUAAACAAAACCAGGAUCUUUGCACUUAGCAAUUAUAUAGCCUCUUAAUAGGCAUAUUUGCAUAUUUCAGUAACUGAUAUGAUUUUUCGUUUAGCUCAGACCACCCACAAAAUGUAAACAAUAGUAUAUAUAAAACCAAUUACUGAAUAAGUUUAUAUUGUAAGUGAUACUCUCUUUAUUUUAAGAAUUACUCAUUAUUGUGAAAUAGCUUUAAGCAACUAAGAAAAAUUUAUAAAUAAGAGUAAAGUGAAAUAAAGAACUCAGUUAUCCAUCAUGACAACUCAAACAAAGCGGAGAAACUAUCUAUUUUUCAUACUUCUCAAGAUUGAUAUUUAUGCUGAAAAUGUUAAAGCAUAUAAACUGCAUAUAAACGAAAUUGAUAUCCGAUGCAUUCAGUGCGAAUAUUGCAGAGGAUGACUCAAAAAAUCAACAUCAGCAGAGGUUUAAUCAAACCAGUUUUUAAAAUAUUUUCUGCUUCUACGCAUAUGGACAAUAUUUAAAAAUUAUGUACAAUAUAUUGAAUUUUGAUGCGAUAAAGAUGAAGAAAAAGUACUGCUACGAUAAAACAUCCGACUGAACGGACUGUGUUCAAGUAGCAUUUUGUUAUGUUUAAUUAAAUAAUCAUGUAAAUAUCUGAUAUAUAUAUUACAACAUAGAUUAAUGUCUCGUUGGAAGCAGUCUAUAUUUUGGGACUGCGAUUGUAAAAUGACGACGACUAUCUUGAAAAAAAUAUUGACCAAAACAAAGCGAUGUGGAUACACUGUAGUUGGAGUCUGUGAUUUAUGUAGUACCAACAGAUCACUUUUUGCGAAGCUGAACAUGAAAGAGGACAAACCUAGAUGCUCUCCAUUUAAUAAAACUCCUUCGAAAUCAUUUUUUGAUAAAGGAUUUUUAUUAGAUGGGAAGCCUGUUAAAAAUGUUAUUAUUUUGGAGUUUCUAUCAUGUACGUCGGCAGAUUUAUCCAUUACGCAUAAAAUCUCUACCAAUUACUGAAAUAUCACCGGGACUCAAAGUCAAAUUGUCAAAAUGGCCACAAAACUUGUUUCUCAUACUGUGGCACAGGCUAUAACGAGAGCAGCAAGCUUGGAGUACUUGAAUGGAAAGAAUUGGGAAGAAUGCCAUAAACUCUUCAAGCUGGUUAACGAUUGGUUCGACGUCAUGAAUGUAAGAGUACCACGUUUAGAUUCCAGAGAGCGUUGUCAUGCCUAUGGACUCGCUAUUGCUGUACAAAGUUCAAAUAUUGACGAAACGAUGGAAAUGAUAACAAAUUAAAGAGUCAUUGGGAAAAACAGUUUGCCAUUUCAAAGCGGCUAUGUGAGUUUUUCUUCUUCUCAACUCGCUAGAAUUACGUCACAACAUAGCGGCGGGCUGGUAAUCUUGUAUUCUAUCAUUUUGGUGGAUGCGUCAUACAACUUAACCAUGGCGCGUUAAACAUUUAACUCAACCUUUUCCGAACUCCAUUAGAAGUUUUACUUUAAAACGCUGUUCGUUAAAAGAUCAGACGUUUCGCAUUUGUACAUACAUUCGUAUCUUAUUAAAAGAAAAAGACGCAUAAUAUUUUUAAA